AUGACACAUAAAUUUAAAUAUCGCGACAAACUAAAAUGUCUAACUGGCACACUGAUGAUAUUAAUGGUAAUUCACACACUGCCCAGAAACAUUGAAGCACAAACGCGAGAUCCUCGAUUUUACUCCCGCGUGGGUGUCGACUAUCGAUGGCCAAGUCCUGGAGAUCCAGAUUACAGAACUUACACUUUCAACGAUCGUCGUUACGGGCAUUAUCAACCGAAUGGUUAUGGUGCCAAUUAUCCUGGCAGAAAUCCACCCGGACAAUAUCCACAGGGUAUGCCCAAUGAAGAUCGCUUUCGUUUUGAUCCGAAUGAUCCAAAUGCAAGGACGCAAUUUCCUGGAGUCUUGGCCGGCUGGCGUGAGGAUUUGCAGGGUAAACAACGAAGGGAUUCGUUGACACUCGAGCGUGAUGUGUUCGUGACAACAAAUUAUGGACAGGUGCAGGGAUUUAAGGUCUAUAUGUAUGAUAAUCCCGAUCCGAAAUCGUUCUAUCGACCCUAUCACUCCACUGUGGAUCGUGUGAUGGGCGAGUGUUCGGUAUUCUUGGGCAUUCCUUACGCCCUCCCGCCCACGUUUGAGGGUCGCUUUAAGCCACCUCGUGCUCAUCGUGGCUGGCAGCUGUUGCAGGCUGUGGACUUUGGGCCAGCUUGUCCACAACCGGUACGAUAUACAGGGGCUACUAAAGGUGUCAUGGACAUGGACGAGGAUUGCUUGUAUCUGAAUGUUUAUUCACCCAAGACUGGCGCUGGCGUGGCACAGAAGUAUCCGGUUAUGGUUUAUAUACACGGUGGCGAAUUUGUGCGUGGCGCCUCCAAUCUAUUCCAGGGUCACAUGCUGGCCUCGUUUUACGAUGUGGUUGUAGUCACUCUUAACUACCGACUGGGCGCUUUGGGUUUCUUGUCCACAGCAGAUGAGAACUCGCCUGGCAACUAUGGCAUCUUGGACCAGGCCAUGGCACUGAAAUGGGUCCACGAUAAUAUUGAAUUCUUUAAUGGCGAUCGUGAUUCUAUUACGCUGUUUGGCCCCGGAGCUGGUGGCGCCUCGGCUGGACUUUUGAUGGUGGCUCCACAGACACGCAAUCUUGUGAAGCGUGUGAUUGCCCAGUCUGGUUCGGCUUUAGCGGAUUGGGCUUUUAUCCAGGACAAGUAUAGAGCACAAAAUACAAGCCGUGUGCUGGGUCAAGUGCUGGGCUGUUCCAUUGAUUCCUCCUGGAAGCUGGUCAACUGUCUGCGCACUGGUCGAAGUUUCUAUGAGCUCGGUAAUGCGGAGUUCUCCGCUCAGGUGGGAAGCUUCCCUUGGGGCCCAGUGUUGGAUCAUAAUUUCACAUUGCCGGCCGAUGAUUGGUAUGAGGGCUGGCGGGAGAAAGAUUGGCGUUUCCUCACCCAAACACCCGAGACUCUGAUCCGUGCUGGCAGAUUCAAUAGGAAUAUCCAGUACAUGACGGGAGUGACCACACAGGAGGCGGCUUUCUUUGUCGCCCAGAAUGAAUCCUUGUCUCCUUUCUUCGAAGUAAAUGGGAAAUUCUUUGAGCAGAAGAUUAGGGAGCAUGUCUUUCGCUAUAACUACACCCUGAAUCCAAUUGGUGUCUACGAAGCCAUUAAAUACAUGUACACCUUUUGGCCAGAUCCCAAUAAUAACACAAUUAUACGAGAUCAAUAUAUCAAUAUGCUGAGCGAUCUCUACUAUCGUGCGCCAGUUGAUCAAAUGGUCAAGUUAUUGCUGGAACAGAAGAUACCAGUUUAUAUGUAUGUACUCAACACCACAGUGGAGGCACUUAAUCUUCCCCAAUGGCGCAAAUAUCCUCACGAUACGGAGCAUUACUUUUUAACUGGUGCUCCCUUCAUGGACACCGAGUUCUUUCCCAAAAAGGAGCAUCUGCAACGAAACAUGUGGACGGAUAAUGAUCGCAACAUGAGUCAUUUCUUCAUGCAGACCUAUUCGAAUUUUGCAAGAUAUGGCAAUCCGACGCCACAACAAGUGCUGGGCAUGCACUUCCAGCGCGCCUAUCAAGGAGAGAUUCGUUAUCUUAAUAUUAAUACCACCUACAAUUCAUCGAUCCUGCUUAAUUAUCGGCAAACAGAGUGCGCAUUCUGGACGCAAUAUUUACCCACUGUUAUUGGGGUUCUGGUGCCAACAUAUCCGCCCACUACGGAGUAUUGGUGGGAGCCGAAGGAGCCGCUGCAAAUAGCCUUUUGGAGCAUGUCGGUGGCAUGCUUCUUUCUCAUUGUGCUCGUCGUCAUCUGUUGCAUCAUGUGGCGCAAUGCCAAGCGACAAUCGGAUCGUUUCUACGAUGAGGAUGUAUUCAUCAAUGGCGAGGGCAUGGAACCAGAGCAAGAUCCACGUGGCGUGGACAAUGCGCACAUGGUAACCAAUCAUCAUGCACUGCGCUCAAGGGAUAACAUCUACGAGUACCGAGAUUCUCCAUCGACUAAAACACUGGCCAGCAAGGUGCAUACGGAUACCACAUCCCUGCGUUCGCCCAGCUCACUGGCCAUGACCCAAAAGUCUGGCAGUCAGGCCUCCCUGAAGUCGGGCAUCUCGCUGAAGGAGACAAAUGGCAGUCUGGUCAAGUCGGAGCGUGCUGCGACACCACGUUCCCAGGCCAAUGGAACAACUGUGAAAGCGGCGCCUGUUGAGGAGAAGCGUCUGCUACAGCCCAUCUCGAGUACGCCGGUGCCACAGCUGCAAUCGGAGCCAACAAAUCGAUCAAAGCCUGCCAGUGUGGCCAGCAGCAGCAGUCGGAGCACAACUCCUGUGCCAUCGGCACGCACCACAACAACGACAGCGACGCUGACAACACAACCAGCGGUGCAGCAAGUGAUGCAAAAAGUGGUUCAGCCAACGGUGCAACCAGCGGUGCAGCCAAGACGUACACAGCUCGUGGAGGGCGUGCCACAAACAUCAGUCUAAGUAACCGCUCUCUAAGCACGGGAUGUGCUUAGAGAGUUAACCGUCAGAGCUUUUGAAUGAACAACAAAAUAAUGUAACAUUGACAUUGGAAUCCCACAGUUAUUCGCGUAUUCCUGCAUAAUUAGUUGACAUUUCAAUAGAGCCAGAAUUUUAGUUUUAUAUUAUUUAUAAUUAGAUUUAAACAGGUCUCUAAGAUCUCCGGAUCCCCUACAUGUAGCUAACUUAUAUCUUCUUAUACAACAAAGUUUAUGUACACUUUUCUCCGUUUUUUGAAUUUUCAUUUCUAAUACAUUUGUUGAAAAUUUUUCAAAAAGCCAAUAUACUGUAAUUAAUAAUGAAAAACUGUGUAAAUCGUAGAAAAAUGUACAAAAACAUUGUGGUACAUGCUGGGUAUUAAUUAAGCAUUUUUAAUUUCUUUUACUGAUUUUUUUUUCCAAAUAUUUGUUAAGUUCGAUAACCCAACGAAUACGAAUCCAUAUCAAUGACAUUCCAUAGAAAAGUUGUUAGUCUCUUUAGAGGCGACGCCUUUCAAUGUAUAUACAAAUUGUAUUAACAAAAUGUACAUUAAGUUAUAAAUUUAGAUUGUAAAUUAAUUUAAGAAAUGUCCCCAAUAUAAUUUUAAUGCAUCUAUUCAAAUUUAAGAAGUUUCUAAACAAUUAUAGUAAUCUUAACAAAUACGAUUAUAUGUUUUGAAUAAAACUGAAUCCAACUUAGCAGAGCACCGAUUGAAAUUCCCAUCAUAAUCACAUAAUUAUUAAUCAUCAAUUAUUUAUAAAUUAUAAGACAAGUGCCUUUAUGCGGAUCUAGCCUAAAGUUAAGUAAAUGUACUCAUGUAUUUAAUUAUAUAUGUAUGUAUUUUAUAUGUAUGUUUUAUGUGUCGCAUAUAUAGAACCAAACGACCAUACAAAUCAGUGUGAACCGUCCAAUAAUUUUUAUGUUUUCAUGUGAAGCGUGUGUAACUUGUUUAUUUUAUAUGUUUAUGUAUAUAUAAUAUAUAGAUUAUAUGAUCUAUUGUUUACAUGUUUGAAAACAUAAAAAUACACUAGCAUUAACAUUACCACUUACAUUUAUAUUUAGUUUAUUUUAUUUUAUUUUAUUGUAAUCAUACAAUUUUAACUAUUAUUUCAUUUGUAAAAUGUCCAACACAAUGUUAAUGCUUCACGUGUCUUGUGUUCUUUCAUCAUCAAAACACAAAAACCAUAAAAUUAGUAAAUAAAGUUUUCUUUUUGUGCUUAAAGA